UACAGAGGGUGCAAGCGUUGUUCGGAAUUAUUGGGCGUAAAGCGCGCGUAGGCGGCCCUGUAAGUCCGUUGUGAAAGUCAAAGGCUCAACCUUUGAAAGCCGAUGGAUACUGCAGGGCUGGAGUCCGGAAGAGGAGAGUGGAAUUCCUGGUGUAGCGGUGAAAUGCGCAGAUAUCAGGAAGAACACCCGUGGCGAAGGCGGCUCUCUGGGCAUGUCCUGACGCUGAGGAGCGAAAGUGUGGGGAGCGAACAGG
rnacentral:rRNA from 1 species